rnacentral:rRNA from 1 species
GAGUUUGAUUCUGGCUCAGGAUGAACGCUGGCGGCGUGCCUAACACAUGCAAGUCGAGCGCGACUGAUUUGAUGCUUGCAUCGAUGAAAGUUGAGCGGCGGACGGGUGAGUAACGCGUGGGCAACCUGCCCUGUACACAUGGAUAACAUACUGAAAAGUUUACUAAUACAUGAUAAUAUAGUUUUUCGGCAUCGAAGAAUUAUCAAAGUGUUAGCGGUACAGGAUGGGCCCGCGUCUGAUUAGCUAGUUGGUGAGAUAACUGCCCACCAAGGCGACGAUCAGUAGCCGACCUGAGAGGGUGAUCGGCCACAUUGGAACUGAGACACGGUCCAAACUCCUACGGGAGGCAGCAGUGGGGAAUAUUGCACAAUGGGCGCAAGCCUGAUGCAGCAACGCCGCGUGAACGAUGAAGGUCUUCGGAUCGUAAAGUUCUGUUGCAGGGGAAGAUAAUGACCGUACCCUNGAGCC